CAGUCGCCACGGUAAUACGUAGGGUGCGAGCGUUAAUCGGAUUUACUGGGCGUAAAGCGUGCGUAGGCGGCUUCUUAAGUCGGAUGUGAAAUCCCUGAGCUUAACUUAGGAAUUGCAUUCGAUACUGGGAAGCUAGAGUAUGGGAGAGGAUGGUAGAAUUCCAGGUGUAGCGGUGAAAUGCGUAGAGAUCUGGAGGAAUACCGAUGGCGAAGGCAGCCAUCUGGCCUAAUACUGACGCUGAGGUACGAAAGCAUGGGGAGCAAACAGGAUUAGAUACCCCCGUAGUCCCUGUCUCUUAUAC
rnacentral:rRNA from 1 species